GAUGAACGCUGGCGGCGUGCCUAAUACAUGCAAGUCGAGCGAACGGACGAGAAGCUUGCUUCUCUGAUGUUAGCGGCGGACGGGUGAGUAACACGUGGAUAACCUACCUAUAAGACUGGGAUAACUUCGGGAAACCGUAGCUAAUACCGGAUAAUAUUUUGAACCGCAUGGUUCAAAAGUGAAAGACGGUCUUGCUGUCACUUAUAGAUGGAUCCGCGCUGCAUUAGCUAGUUGGUAAGGUAACGGCUUACCAAGGCAACGAUGCAUAGCCGACCUGAGAGGGUGAUCGGCCACACUGGAACUGAGACACGGUCCAGACUCCUACGGGAGGCAGCAGUAGGGAAUCUUCCGCAAUGGGUGAAAGCCUGACGGAGCAACGCCGCGUGAGUGAUGAAGGUCUUCGGAUCGUAAAACUCUGUUAUUAGGGAAGAACAUAUGUGUAAGUAACUGCGCACAUCUUGACGGUACCUAAUCAGAAAGCCACGGCUAACUACGUG
rnacentral:rRNA from 1 species